GUCUUGCUCUGUGCUCUGCUUCUUCUUCUUCUUCUUCUUAGUAAAACCCUCUGGUCUAUAGCCGAGGGUUUUUUGUCAAUUUGAAAUUUCACCCAAACAAAAGAAAGAGAGCAAAAGCAUUCAUACAAUGAUUCUACAGACGGGUUUUUUGGGUCCGUCGCUCAUAUCUUCAUGCUCUUCCUGUAGUAGGCUCAAUCCUCUUCUCUUCUCCGCACGACGUCGUCGCAUUAGCCUCCCUCGCUGGCGUUUCACGCGUCUGAGGACUCGACAAUUCGAUGUUGCUGCAUCAGAGAAUGAUGUGUUUACUUCACCGCAGAUAGCGAAGUCCUUUGAUUUUACUUCAGAGGAGCGAAUAUACAAUUGGUGGGAGUCCCAAGGGUUUUUUCGGCCUAACUUUGAGCGGGGAAGUGAUCCGUUUGUUAUUUCAAUGCCACCUCCUAAUGUUACUGGCUCUCUGCACAUGGGGCAUGCAAUGUUCGUGACUCUUGAGGAUAUUAUGGUUAGAUAUCAUCGUAUGAAGGGAAGACCAACACUUUGGCUUCCUGGGACUGACCAUGCUGGUAUUGCAACUCAGCUGGUCGUUGAAAGAAUGCUUGCAUCAGAAGGGAUAAAAAGGACUGAGCUGAGUAGGGAAGAGUUCACAGAGAGAGUUUGGGAGUGGAAAGAAAAGUAUGGUGGAACAAUCACAAACCAGAUUAAAAGACUUGGUGCUUCUUGUGAUUGGACUAGAGAGCACUUCACCCUUGAUGAACAGCUAAGUCGAGCUGUAAUAGAGGCCUUCAUCAGACUUCAUGAAAAAGGCUUAAUUUAUCAAGGGUCUUACAUGGUGAACUGGUCUCCUAGUCUACAGACUGCUGUUUCUGACUUGGAAGUAGAAUAUCAUGAAGAAUCAGGUACUCUCUAUCAUAUAAAGUAUCGUGUUGCUGGACUCUCAAGUGGUGACUUUUUGACAAUUGCCACAACACGCCCAGAGACUUUGUUUGGUGAUGUAGCUAUUGCGGUGCAUCCUGAGGAUGAUAGGUAUUCUAAAUAUGUUGGUGGAAUGGCUAUUGUACCUUUGACAUAUGGCCGUCAUGUCCCUAUAAUUGCUGAUAAGCACGUCGAUAAAGACUUUGGGACUGGUGUCUUGAAGAUAAGUCCUGGACAUGAUCAUAAUGAUUACUUCCUAGCUAGAAAGCUUGGUCUGCCGAUACUUAAUGUGAUGAACAAGGAUGGGACACUUAAUGAUGUUGCUGGACUGUACAGUGGCCUUGAUCGGUUUGAGGCUCGAAAGAAACUAUGGGCAGAUCUGGAGGAGACAGGUUUAGCUGUGAAAAAGGAGCCGCACACUUUACGGGUACCCAGAUCUCAACGUGGGGGAGAAGUAAUAGAGCCUCUAGUAAGCAAGCAAUGGUUUGUGACUAUGGAGCCCUUAGCUGAGAAGGCCCUUCAAGCUGUAGAAAAAGGAGAUUUGAAAAUCAUUCCUGAUAGAUUUGAGAAGAUUUAUAAUCAUUGGCUAUCAAAUAUUAAGGACUGGUGCAUAAGCCGACAACUAUGGUGGGGACACCGAAUACCAGUCUGGUACAUCGAGGGGAAGGACUGUGAAGAAGAAUACAUAGUUGCAAGAAGUGCUGAUGAAGCUCUUGAGAAAGCUCAACAGAAGUAUGGAAAGGGCAUAAAAAUAUAUCAGGAUCCUGAUGUACUUGACACUUGGUUUUCAAGUGCACUAUGGCCUUUCAGUACUCUCGGGUGGCCAAAUGUAUCAGCAGAAGAUUUUAAGCUGUUUUAUCCUACGACAAUGCUUGAAACUGGGCAUGACAUAUUGUUUUUCUGGGUGGCAAGAAUGGUCAUGAUGGGAAUUGAGUUCACAGGCAAACUUCCAUUUCAAUAUAUUUAUCUACAUGGUCUUAUCCGAGAUUCACAAGGCCGGAAAAUGUCUAAAACAUUGGGGAAUGUAAUAGAUCCGUUGGAUACAAUCAAGGAAUUUGGCACCGAUGCUUUACGAUUCACGCUUUCUUUAGGAACUGCUGGUCAGGAUCUUAAUUUAUCUACUGAGAGAUUGACCUCUAACAAGGCAUUCACCAACAAACUAUGGAAUGCUGGGAAGUUUGUAUUACAAAAUUUGCCUAGUCAGAGCGAUGCAUCUGCUUGGGAGAAUAUACUUUCAUAUGAGUUUGACAAAGAGGAGUCUCUACAUAGGUUACCUUUAUCAGAAUGUUGGGUGAUCUCAAAACUUCAUAUGCUUAUUGACACAGUCACUGCAAGCUAUGACAAGUUUUUCUUUGGAGAUGUAGGAAGAGAGACAUAUGAUUUCUUUUGGGGUGAUUUUGCUGAUUGGUAUAUUGAGGCUAGUAAAGCUCGGCUUUAUCAAUCUGGAGGACAUUCAGAAGCCUCUGUAGCACAGACAGUUCUACUAUAUGUAUUCGAGAACAUACUUAAAUUAUUGCAUCCCUUCAUGCCAUUCGUAACUGAGGAGCUGUGGCAGGCACUUCCCAAUCGACAAGAAGCUCUUAUGGUAUCUCCUUGGCCACAGACUUCACUUCCAAGGUUAAGCAACUCGAUAAAGAAGUUUGAAAAUCUACAAGCAUUGACUAGAGCAAUCCGGAAUGCUCGAGCAGAAUAUUCAGUUGAACCAGCAAAGCGUAUAUCGGCAUCUAUAGUUGCUAAUGAAGAAGUCAUCCAAUAUAUAUUGGAAGAGAAAGAGGUUUUGUCACUUCUCUCUCGGCUAGAUUUACAAAAUGUCCAUUUUACGAAUUCACCUCCAGGGAAUGCUGAACAAUCAGUCCACCUUGUGGCUGGUGAUGGACUAGAGGCCUAUCUCCCUCUUGCGGAUAUGGUUGAUAUCACUGCAGAGAUUGAACGUCUUUCAAAGCGACUUUCAAAAAUGCUGACAGAAUAUCAUGGACUAACUGCUCGCCUUAGUUCUCCUAAAUUUGUAGAGAAAGCUCCUGAAGAUAUUGUGCGUGGGGUCCGAGAAAAGGCAGCAGAAACAGAAGAAAAAAUUACUCUGACAGAAAAUCGCUUAGCUAUGCUUAAAUCAUCAGUCCUGGUUUCAGAAUAGGUUCUACAUAUCAUUCAAUGACAUUUUUUCAAACAAUGGUUUCUCUUUUGCCUUCCAUUUUUGUGCAUAUAUUUCAGUCCCAGAUCAGUAUUUUAUCUUUGUAUACGAGAGGAAAUUUAAUGUUCUGUAUUUGGAGGACCGAUGGUGACGUUAUUUGGCACCUUCUACUUAUUCCCGGCCAGAGAAUGGGACUAUGAAGUAAACUCAAGUUUUCUACCAUGAAUUCUGCACGUACAGAAGCUGUGUCGAUGGGAUGAAAUCAACAGGUCGAAGAGUUUGUGCUAUAUGAUUAAAGAAUUAAUAAUCCAUGAGACAAUAUAUUUCAAUUUUUAAUGGUCCCAGUUUUAUUAUUUUUCUGAACAUAUUUCUACAUUGUCAUGUCACUCAAAAGAGGAAGGUUUCUGCCAGUUCAGUUCAGGAAUAGCUGGGAUUCUAAGUAGUAGUGCGGCCAAUAUAUAUAAAAGGAAGCCUAAAAAAUAAUGUAUUUAUAUACAUACACCAAAAACAAAAACAAAAGUGAAUUGUUGUAACUUGGUCACUUAUUUUAGUGCAUAAUAAACAUAUAAUUAAAGAGCUUGCUCAAAAGAAAACCUACUACAGAGAUAAUCAUGCUGUCCGAUAAGAUCAACACAAGAUAACUUGAGAUAAUUUACCAAAAUGACUCAUAGUAAGUUGAGUUAUUACGGGUCAGAUAAGCUAGAAUUCAAUUGUUAUUAAAAAGUCCAAAUUUAAGAAAAGCAUUUAAUUGGAAAAAAAAUAAAAACAUAGAAACAUAGGUUAGAAUAUAGGCGGGAAAAGUAAAGAAAAUUAAGACAAUGAGUUUAAUCAAUUAAAGCUAUUGGAUUAUAUAUCAUAUCAAAUACAUUUAAUAGAUCGAUUUUAAAUUUUAUAUACCGUAAAAUUAUAUAUCACAUCAAAUACAUUUAAUUCAACAAUUUUAUAUAAUUGAGUCUGCUUAUCCUCAAUUAUUCUCAUCUUAGAGCCCAGUCAUUAUUGGAGGGAAAGCCAUAGAAAGUUGAAAAAGUUAAAACCUCAAUUGCUAAUUGCCAAUUGUCAAACCUCUAAUUUCCCAGUUCCCAAAAUGAGUACCAUGAAAUUUUGCCGCGAAUGGUCUGUGUAUACGUUUAUUGCAUUAAUAUUUUCGUUCUUGUGUUUUCAAUUUUUUUAUAUUUUAAAAAUCUGUUAUAAUGGUUUUGGAAAUCGACAUAUGAAUGAAUUAAUAAAUUUGUAAAUUUGCAGUAACAACAUUCUGUAUCCCAAGGAGGACAAGGAACGUAAGAUUCUCCUCUAUGCUUGCCGCAACUGCGACCACCA